rfam:Algibacter sp. SK-16 scaffold23_cov53_read183, whole genome shotgun sequence.
GUAACCGUGAGGUUACAUUUGAAGGAAGCGAGACUACAAAACUCGGUACUGACGAACAGAAACCGUAUACAGAGGCAUAUUUACUUGGGUAAGCAAGCACAUCAUUGUAACUCCCCACGAGAAAGAAAAAAGGUAAAUAUGUAGAUAGGUAGUUAUUGAGAGAAAGAAGAUGCC